rnacentral:lncRNA from 1 species
AUAAUAAUAAUAAUACAUUUUAUUUAAAAGCGCCUUUCUGAACACUCAAGGACACUGUACAGGGCAUAAAAACACAGUUAGAAACAUAAUUAAAAUAAAUAAAAACAACAUACAAGUGUGAAAGUGGACAGUUAAAGUGAAUAUGCAAUUUGAAAAAGGUGUGUUUUGAGUUUGGAUUUAAAGUGGGGUAGUGAGUCCAUGUUUCUGAGGUCCGGGGGGAGAGAGUUCCAGAGUUUGGGGGCAGAGCGACUGAAAGUCCUGCUCCCCAUGGUGCUGAGCCGGGCAGAGCGCACAGAGAGGUGGAGGGAGGAGGAGGAUCUGAGGGAGUGUGAGGGGGUGACGAUGUGGAGGAGAUCGAAGAGGUAAGGGGGGGCAAGGUUAUGGAUGGCCUUGAAAGUGUACAGAAGGAUUUUGUAGUUGAUUCUGGACCUGACAGGAAGCCAGUGAAGCUGCUGAAGGACAGGGGUGAUGUGGUGAAAGGAGGGGGUUCUGGUGAUGAUGCGGGCUGCGGAGUUUUGGACAAGUUGAAGUUGGAGGGAUUUGUGAGGGGCACCGAGGAGGAGUGAGUUGCAGUAGUCUAUGUGGGAGGUAACAAGGCUGUGGACCAGGAUAGCUGUGGUGUGAGGAGUGAGUGACGGACGGAGACGGUUAAUGUUUCGUAGGUGGAAAUAUGCAGACCAGGUGAUGUUACUGAUGUGAGAGUGGAAAGAUAGUGAGCUGUCGAGGAUGACACCCAGACUCUUAACCUGAGGGGAAGGGGACACUGUGGAGUUGUCUAUGGUGAGGGAGAAACUGUCAGCUUUGGAAAGACCGGACUUGGUACCGACCAGGAGGAGUUCUGUUUUAUCGGAGUUGAGUUUGAGGAAGUUUGACGUGAACCAGGAUUUAAUUUCUGAGAGGCAGUGGGUGAGGGUGGAAGAGAGGCGUUGGGUUUGCUGGAGAGGUAGAGCUGGGUGUCAUCCGCGAAGCAAUGAAAAUGUAUGCCAAAUUUACGGAGGAUGCUGCCAAGGGGAAGGAGCUAGAUAAUGAAGAGGAGGGGGCCUAGGACAGAACCCUGGGGCACACCUGAAGUGACAAGGGAGGGCUGUGAGGUGAAUGAUUUGAGUUGGAUGAACUGAGUGCGGCCAGUGAGGUAUGAGUGAAACCAGAGAAGGGGGGUGUGAGUAAUGCCUAUGGAGGAGAGUCUAUGGAGGAGGAUGGAAUGGGAGAUGGUGUCGAGGCCGCACUCAGAUCAAGGAGAAUGAGGAUGGAGAUUAAACCGGAGUCAGCUGCCAUGAGGAGGUUGUUAGUGAUUUUGAUGAGGGCUGUUUCAGUGCUAUGGAGGGGACGGAAACCGGACUGGAACUGUUCGUAGAGACUGUUGUGAGUGAGAUGGGUGUGGAGUUGAGAGGCAACCGUUUUUUCUAGAAUUUUGGAGAUGAAGGGGAGGUGGGAAAUGGGGCGGAGGUUAUUGAAGUUGUUGGGGUCUGAACCAGGUUUUUUCAGGGUGGGACUGAUGGCUGCAGAUUGUUGUGUGAAUAAAAUGUGAGAAAAGGGCUAAUUUGAACAUUCCGUAAUGCAGGAAAAUUGCCGACAGGAAUAACAAUAAGUGGAAAUACUUAAUCAGCAUUUCCACUUAAUAAAGAACAGGAUAACAAUAAGUUGAAAUGCUGAUUAAGCAUUUCCACUUAAUAAUAAUUAAGAAAUGGGAGAAUAACAAUAAGUGGAAAUGCUGUGUCAGCAUUUCCACUUAAUGACAUUUUCCUAUCAGUUAAAACUCUACAUACAUAGGCCUGUGACAAACACCUCAAAAGUGCUCUAGUUUUCGAAAUACCCUACCGGAAUUAGAACCAAACAAAACAUAGUCUUUCCUCAUCUCUAAGGCCUCCUUUACAUGAAAUGGAUUCUUGUAUAAAAAUAUUUCAAUGCAAAAGUGGUGAAAUUGAUAUAUAUUGUUAUACACACCCAAACAAAAAAUAAAGCUUGUUCGUCUGGUGAUUGAUGCAUAUAAACCCAUGUAGAUUCACUAUGGAGGCUCCAGGAGGUCUAAAAUUUUGCAUUCUGGAGGCCAGGAUAUCCCUCUACAUUCUCGAAAAAAACAGAAUGUACAUAUCUUAAUACAAAUAGGAGAUAGUCAUUUUAACACAUACCUACAAUAGGCGAGAAUGUAAUCUAUGUAGAAUAUUCCCUUUACUUUAUAGUGACUUUGUCAUGGAAAGCCAUAACAACACAUAUGAGGGCUUGUUUGAAAGCUGUGGUUCUGCUGAAUCCAGCAAUACCUAUUGCGUAUAGGUAGCUUGGAGUUAUCUCACAAAAGGUACGAGGUGUCCCGAAAAGAAGAAAAUAAAGAAAAUUAUAUAGUCCAAAUGAAAUCUUCAUUCCAUAAUUCAUUAUGUGGUGUUCACAAUUUCACUGUUACUGCAAAGAAAAAUAACUUUGGGAAAUAACCCCCCCCCCCCCCCCCCCCUUUUUUAAUCUUUUUUUCCUUCACUUAUCUAUAUGAACAAAUUCACUUGAGUAGAAGUAGAAAUGUAUAAAACUAUUCCUAAACAUGCAACUUCAACAAUAGAGCAGAGAAAAAUGCAGGCCUACACUAGAACCACUAACGAUUAUUUAGCUCACCUGGCUGAGGAAAACCAAGCUCCACACAUUUGAUGCUCACUGUUAACACCAUAACAUCAAGUCAGUCAAUUCAAGAGGUGGUUACUGUCAAGACAUACAACAUUUGGCUCCCUGCUCUAUCUGCAUUGUAUCCCAUUCAUAGGCUUCUUCAUAAACUGACAGGUAAAUUAUUGAAAAUAUUAAUGAAUGUGUGAGAAAGACCUUGCUAAAUCAGUUAUCUAAUUAGCUAGCUGGAGAGUAAGCCAGCUUAACUGAAGUAUAGCUAGCUUUAAAGUGACAUGCCUUAAUUGAAAUAGAUAUGAGUCUAGCUGAAUUAUUAACAAUUAAUCAACCCACUGAGCAGCCAUACUAGAUGUCUCUGUUUCAUCAGAAUGUCACACAUCCAUAAUUAGUUUCACUGGUAACAUUAUGGUUACCAGUACAUUGUAUGUGUAAUACAUAGAUAAUGUCCAAAUUCUUAAGUAUAUUUCUUUUCCUUUUUUUCAAUUUUACCAGAAUGGAGAGUGAUGUGCAAACAUUGGAUCCAAAUCUAUGUAUAAUCUGUGGUAAACAUUUAGAAAAAGGAAAGAAACAAGAGCCAUAUGUCAAAAAGCCCACAGUAGAAGGUCUUCAGCACAUACUGCAUGUUGCUCAACAGAGAGAUGAUGACGUGAAUAAAACCCUGUCACCUUAUAGAGAUGAUAUACUUUCCCUCAAAACAAAGGUGUCAUAUUGUGUGUCAUGUAGAGCAAACUACUCCAGUAAGACCAAUAUCAAUGAGCAACAAGUAGCAAAUGUUGAUAUGGAGAGGGUACCUGCACCAGGCCCAUCAAGAAGACUGAGUAGGGUUGAUACCCAAUUAUUUGACAUACGAAGAGAAUGUUUCAUUUGUGGGAAGGCCAGAACAAGACCGGAAAAACUGACUGCCAUUGUGACUGGUACAGGUAAAAGUACCAGAGACAAGGUCCUCCAUGCUGCGUCAGAAAGACAAGAUGAAGUCAUACAACAUUGGCUUAUUGCAUACCCAGAUCUCUUUGCAUAUGAUUCCAAAUAUCAUUAAAGCUGCUUUGCACACUACAUUUCAGAGCUAAAUAUAACAGCUGCCAGACGGAAAAAAGAAUCAGACCAUCAGAUCAGUAUUCAUGACAAAGUUUUUAUUAAGCUCACUGAAGUUAUUGAUAAAACAGUUUUUUCCAAAGAUAUAAAAGUGAUGACACUAAACUCCUUGACUGAGAGUUAUGAUGAUAUACUGAAGACACUGAGGUCUGAGGAAGAAGAUGAGACAGUCCAGCACACUAAAUACAGAUCCUGGAAACUGAAGGAAAAGCUCAUACAGCACUACAAACACAGGCUGGUAUUUUUUGAACGAGCCGGAAAGUCC